rnacentral:rRNA from 1 species
CAGUUGCUAAUACCGCAUGAUAUAGUAGCUUGGCAUCAAGCAACUAUCAAAGAUUUAUCGCUCAAAGAUGGCCUCGCGUCUGAUUAGGGUAGUUGGUGAGGUAACGGCUCACCAAGCCUGUCGAUCAGUAGCCGGACUGAGAGGUUGACCGGCCACAUUGGAACUGAGAUACGGUCCAGACUCCUACGGGAGGCAGCAGUGGGGAAUAUUGGGCAAUGGGCGCAAGCCUGACCCAGCGACGCCGCGUGAAGGAAGACGGUCUUCGGAUUGUAAACUUUAGUACCCAGGGACGAAACGAUGACGGUACCUGGGGUUAAGCCACGGCUAACUACGUG